rnacentral:rRNA from 1 species
AACGAACGCUGGCGGCAGGCCUAACACAUGCAAGUCGAACGAGAAGCCACCUUCGGGUGGUGGACAGUGGCAGACGGGUGAGUAACGCGUGGGAACGUGCCUUUCGGUUCGGGAUAACCCAGGGAAACUUGGGCUAAUACCGGAUACGCCCUCCGGGGGAAAGAUUCAUUGCCGAAAGAUCGGCCCGCGUCGGAUUAGCUAGUUGGUGGGGUAAAAGCCUACCAAGGCGACGAUCCGUAGCUGGUCUGAGAGGANGACCAGCCACACUGGACUGAGACACGGCCCAGACUCUACGGGAGGCAGCAGUGGGAAGUUUUGGACAAUGGGGGCAACCCUGAUCCAGCCAUGCCGCGUGAGUGAAGAAGGCCGU